CGCAAAUAGAACUCUGGUUAAAAAUAGCCUUUGUCUAAAUGUGGAAAGUGGGUAAAUAUAGUAGCAGUUUCAGCUUACUACAGAGGCUUACAGGCUCCAAGUAACAGAGCUUAUUAUAG
rnacentral:sRNA from 1 species